CCAAUAGCGUAUAUUAAAGUUGUUGCAGUUAAAAAGCUCGUAGUUGAAUUUCGGGGUCAGCAAGUUGGUCGUGCCACCGGUAUGCACUGGCUUUGCUGAUUCCUCCUUCUUGUAGAACCGUAAUGCCAUUAAGUUGGUGUUGCGGGGAAACAGGACUGUUACUUUGAAAAAAUUAGAGUGUUUAAAGCAGGCUAACGCUUGAAUACAUUAGCAUGGAAUAAUGAAAUAGGACGACGAUCCUAUUUUGUUGGUUUCUAGGAUUGACGUAAUGAUUAAUAGGGAUAGUGGGGGGCAUUAGUAUUCAAUUGUCAGAGGUGAAAUUCUUGUGUCGAUUGAAGACUAACUACUGCGAAAGCAUUUGCCAAGGAUGUUUUCAUUAAUCAAGAACGAAAGUUAGGGGAUCGAAGACGAGCAGAUACCGUCGUAGUCUUAACCAUAAACUAUGCCGACUAGGGAUCGGAUGAUGUUAAUUUUAUAAUGACUCAUUCGGCGCCUUACG
rnacentral:rRNA from 1 species